rnacentral:lncRNA from 1 species
GUGACCCAGAACCGGAAAACAUAGUGGAAACAACACUGCAUAGGCGAAACUUUGCACCGCUCAUGUAUGAUAAAGAUGUUGUUGGUAUUGUGGCCCAGGCACUGAAGGAUGCUGACCAUAUGAAGAUAGUUAAAAAAAGAGGGCGGACCGUAUUUGACCAACUACGGAAUGAUAAAGGCCAAGUACCUAAUGAGAAAAAAGCGGGUGUCUACACCAUUCCCGUAUACAACAACAAUGAAAGGUGCCCCCAACAGUACAUAGGCAGCGUGGGAAGAAAUUUAGGGAUGAGACUGGCGGAGCAUGGGGAAGAC